CGGGGCGUGGCUCAGUUUGGCUAGAGCGCAGCGUUCGGGACGCUGAGGCCACAGGUUCAAGUCCUGUCGCCCCGACCA
rnacentral:tRNA from 2 species